UCAGGAUGAACGCUAGCGGCAGGCUUAACACAUGCAAGUCGAGGGGCAGCGCGGGUAGCAAGUACCUGGCGGCGACCGGCGAAAGGGUGCGUAACGCGUGAGCAACUUGCCCGUAUCCGGGGGAUAAGCGCUGGAAACGGCGUCUAAUACCGCAUAACAACAGAGGCCGCAUGACUUCUGUUUGAAAACUCCGGUGGAUACGGAUGGGCUCGCGAGACAUUAGCUUGUUGGCGGGUAACGGCCCACCAAGGCUACGAUGUCUAGGGGUUCUGAGAGGAAGGUCCCCCACAUUGGAACUGAGACACGGUCCAAACUCCUACGGGAGGCAGCAGUGAGGAAUAUUGGUCAAUGGCCGGAAGGCUGAACCAGCCAUGCCGCGUGAAGGAUUAAGGCCCUAUGGGUCGUAAACUUCUUUUGUGGUGGAGCAAUAAGUGUCACGUGUGACACGAUGAGAGUACAUCACGAAUAAGCAUCGGCUAACUCCGUGCC
rnacentral:rRNA from 1 species